rnacentral:rRNA from 1 species
UACGUAGGUGGCAAGCGUUGUCCGGAUUUACUGGGCGUAAAGAGCGCGCAGGCGGUUGAUUAAGUCGAAUGUGAAAGCCCCCGGCUCAACUGGGGAGGGUCAUUCGAUACUGAUUGACUUGAAGGCAGGAGAGAGAAGUGGAAUUCCCGGUGUAGUGGUGAAAUGCGUAGAUAUCGGGAGGAACACCGAUGGCGAAGGCAGGUCUCUGGGCCACUACUGACGCUGAGAAGCGAAAGCAUGGGGAGCGAACAGG